UACGUAGGUGGCAAGCGUUGUCCGGAAUUAUUGGGCGUAAAGCGCGCGCAGGCGGUUCUUUAAGUCUGAUGUGAAAGCCCACGGCUCAACCGUGGAGGGUCAUUGGAAACUGGAGAACUUGAGUACAGAAGAGGAAAGCGGAAUUCCACGUGUAGCGGUGAAAUGCGUAGAGAUGUGGAGGAACACCAGUGGCGAAGGCGGCUUUCUAGUUUAUACCUGACGCUGAGGCGCGAAAGCAAGGGGAUCAAACAGG
rnacentral:rRNA from 1 species